GAUGAACGCUGGCGGCGUGCCUAAUACAUGCAAGUCGAGCGAACAGACGAGGAGCUUGCUCCUCUGACGUUAGCGGCGGACGGGUGAGUAACACGUGGAUAACCUACCUAUAAGACUGGGAUAACUUCGGGAAACCGGAGCUAAUACCGGAUAAUAUAUUGAACCGCAUGGUUCAAUAGUGAAAGACGGUUUUGCUGUCACUUAUAGAUGGAUCCGCGCCGCAUUAGCUAGUUGGUAAGGUAACGGCUUACCAAGGCAACGAUGCGUAGCCGACCUGAGAGGGUGAUCGGCCACACUGGAACUGAGACACGGUCCAGACUCCCACGGGAGGCAGCAGUAGGGAAUCUUCCGCAAUGGGCGAAAGCUUGACGGAGCAACGCCGCGUGAGUGAUGAAGGUCUUCGGAUCGUAAAACUCUGUUAUUAGGGAAGAACAAAUGUGUAAGUAACUAUGCACGUCUUGACGGUACCUAAUCAGAAAGCCACGGCUAACUACGUG
rnacentral:rRNA from 1 species